rnacentral:rRNA from 1 species
UCCUGCCUGCCCAGUGACUGAAAAGUUAAACGGCCGCGGUAUCUUGACCGUGCGAAGGUAGCAUAAUUAUUUGUCUCCUAAAUAGAGACUGGCAUGAAUGGCAAGACGGGGCUCUACUGUCUCCUUAUCUCCCACCUGAAAUUCACAUCUUUGUGAAGAGGCAAAGAUAAAAUCGCUAGACGAGAAGACCCUAUCGAGCUUAAACUAAAGCAGAAGCUUAAAUUCCCCUCACCAUUCAUCUAAUCAAAUUCACUUAAUGAAGAACUGAGAAAUCGUUUUUUGUGGGAGUUUUAGUUGGGGCAACUGCGGAGAAGAAAAUCCUCCGCUAUCAUCUAAGCUUUUAGGAAAACUACCCUAAAGCAAGAACAGCAAGUGAUCCACCCUGGUGAUCAAAGGAACAAGUUACCGUAGGGAUAACAGCGUAAUCUUUUUCGAGAGUUCAUAUUGACAAAAAGGUUUGCGACCUCGAUGUUGGAUCGGGACAUCCUAAUAGUGCAGAAGCUUUUAAGGGUUGGUCUGUUCGACCAUUAAAGUCCUACGUGAUCUGAGUUCAGACCGGA